GCUGGGCAUGGUGGUGCAUGCCUGUAGUCCCAGCUACUCAGGAGGCUGAGGCAGGAGAAUCACUUGAGCCCAGGAGGCAGAGGCUGCAGUGAGCCGAGAUCAUGGCACUGCACUCCAGCCUAGGCGACAGGGUGAGACUCUGUCUCAA
ensembl:misc_RNA Metazoa_SRP Metazoan signal recognition particle RNA